UACGAAGGGUGCAAACGUUGCUCGGAAUUAUUGGGCGUAAAGGGCGCGUAGGCGGCCCGCUAAGUCGAACGUGAAAUCCCCAGGCUUAACCUGGGAACUGCGUCCGAUACUGGCAGGCUUGAAUCCGGGAGAGGGAUGUGGAAUUCCAGGUGUAGCGGUGAAAUGCGUAGAUAUCUGGAGGAACACCGGUGGCGAAGGCGGCAUCCUGGACCGGCAUCGACGCUGAGGCGCGAAAGCUAGGGGAGCAAACGGG
rnacentral:rRNA from 1 species